rnacentral:rRNA from 1 species
CUGCUAUCGGGGUGGGACUAAAACAUGCGAGUCGAGCGCCUUCAAGCUACGGUGAAGGCGCGGCGAACGGCUCAGUAACACGUGGCUAACCUACCCUUUGGACGGAGACAACCCCGGGAAACUGGGGGUAAUCCCCGAUAGAUGAGGAGGCCUGGAAUGGUUUCUCAUUCAAAAGGCGUCUAGACCAUGCUUUUAGGCGUCGCCAAAGGAUGGGGCCGCGGCCGAUCAGGUUGUUGGCGAGGUAACGGCUCACCAAGCCUAUAACCGGUACGGGCCGUGAGAGCGGGAGCCCGGAGAUGGGCACUGAGACAAGGGCCCAGGCCCUACGGGGCGCAGCAGUUGCGAAAACUCCGCAAUGCGCGAAAGCGUGACGGGGCUACCCCGAGUGCCGUCCGCUGAGGACGGCUUUUCCACGGUGUAAGGAGCCUGGAAUAAGGAGAGGGCAAGACUGGUGUCAGCCGCCGCGGUAAUWCCAGCUCUCCGAGUGGUGGGGACGAUUAUUGGGCUUAAAGCGUUCGUARCCGGCUCAGCAAGUCUUUCGUWAAAUCCAGCGAUCUAAUCGUUGGACUGCGGGAGAUACUGUUGGGCUAGGGGGCGGGAGAGGCCGACGGUAUUCUCGGGGUAGGGGUGAAAUCCUAUAAUCCCGGGAGGACCACCAGUGGCGAAGGCGGUCGGCUAGAACGCGCCCGACGGUGAGGGACGAAAGCUGGGGGAGCGAACCGGAUUAGAUACCCGGAUAGUCCCAGCAGUAAACGAUGCGGGCUAGGUGUUGGGGCGGCCACGAGCCGCUUCAGUGCCGCACGGAAGCAAUUAAGCCCGCCGCCUGGGUAGGACGGCCGCAAGGCUGAAACUUAAAGGAAUUGGCGGGGGAGCACCACAAGGCGUGAAGCUUGCGG